rnacentral:lncRNA from 1 species
UGCCAUAAGGUAAACAAAAAAUAUUCUAUCUGAAAGUUUCCCAAAAAUUCAGUUGCUGCAAAUAUUUAGGGGACAAGCUUUUCCUAUUGUGCGUCAUACCAGCUUUAGGAAAUAGAUAUUUACUCAUAAAAGUUGUUCACUUAUAAAAGUCGCAUAAAGUCUCUUAAUAGGCAAUUCCUUAUUUUGAAAAUAGCUGUUUUGUCAGUUUUUGAGCUUCGAUUGAAUUCUACACAAGGACUAAAAAUUUCUUCCAUACAAAUCCCAAAUAACGGUAAAUCUUGGUUGUCAAGAUAAGUACAUACAAGCAUUUUACAAAAAAUUAUUAAGUUAAAUUUACAUACCAAUUUUUAAUGAGUGACCAGGCAAAUUUUUAUUUGAAAAGCGUGCGUAUCGAACAGCGCUUUAGGCAACGGCCAAACGAAAAUCCUCAAGAAAUUAUAAUAAACUACUUUCAAAAUAAAAAAAUUGAAUUUUGACCCCUGUUUCUUUAAAGAAUGAAUAAACGUCUGAACUUUGGGCAAAUAUACUAGAAACGUUCCUGAUAUAGAAAAAUGUAGAUCACUAAAUCAAAUAGGAAAAUGGAGCAGCAGGUAACACUGCUAGGAACCCUAUAAAAGUCGUGGUGAAAGUGUGCGAAAAUACAAUAACGGCAUCAGACAUUUUUCUGUUUGAGAUAUUUAGAGGCGUAGAUUUUUGCAAUUCCUCCAGAAAAUAUCAAACAAUUCAAAUGUCGACUGACAGCUAUAAGAUGCAAACUCAAACCUGUAUUUGUUGCCAUUCUUCGAAAUCUUCAAGUAUACGGAUUUGUAGUACUAAUACGUUUUCAUAAGUUAAGAGGUCGUUGUCGAAUGAAAUGUGGCUGCUUAAGUAUUUUUGUUUGGUUUUGUUAUUUUAUGGAGCUAAAGCACGUAAGUACCUAGAAACAAUGUCAAGUAAAUGUUUAACAAUACAACAAAAGUAAAAUAAUUUCUAGUGGAAUACACAAUUUUUACAGUGGUUUGCUAAAGGAUCGGCAUUUACAAUCAAGGUGAAAAUAGUUACAUUCCGUGUCGACUAAUUUGGACAUUAAAGUCCUGUCGUAAAUCCCAUCAUUAUUAUGGUCGACAAUUUUAAAAUCUAAAUCUUCGCACCCUUUACAAGUGGGAUCCUUCAUAUUACUUCGAAGAACCUGAUGGUGGUGUAUGCAAAACGCCCUUAGGAACGUCGGGAGUAUGCAUAAGCAUUUUUGAAUGCAGUCCUAUCAUAGCCCUUCUGAAAGCGCCAAGCAGAA